AUAUGGACCCAGGACCUGCAUAGAAAGUUCUCAAAAGAAGAAAAAAAACAUAGCUAAGAAAUAUCUCAAUGUUUAUAACCCCUAGAAAUUAGGGAAAUUAAAUGAAAACAACUUUGAGAUUUCAUCUUACCCAAGUCUUAGAAUGGCAAAGAUCAAUGAAACAUCUGACAGAAUGCUGGAGGGGUUGCAGGGAAAGGAGAAUUCUUCCUCACUCUUGGUGGGAUUGCAAACUGGUAAAGCCACUAUGAAAAUCAGGGUGAAUCCUCAAAAAUCUAAAAAUAUCCUACCAUACAACCAAGCUGUGCCACUCCUUGGCAUCUGCCCGGAGGACUUGACAUCCUACUCCACAGAUACUUACUCAGCCAUAUUCAUUGAUGCUGUGUUCACAAUAGCUAGGAAAUGGAAACAGCCUAAAUGUCCUACGACUGAUGAAUGAAUAAUGAAAAUGUGGCCCAUAUACAUUAUGAAAUACUAUUCAUCUGUAAAGAAAAAUGAAAUAAUAAACUUUGCAAGUAAAUGAAUGGAACAUGAAAGACCAUAUUGAAUAAGGUAACCCAGACCCAGAAAGACAAAUGUUGCACCUUCUUUCUCACUGGAAGCCCCCAACUUCAAAUCUACAGAUGCUGAUGGUGUUCCCUUCAAGAGCUGAAGACUAAACUAAGACCUGACACCAGGCAUGAAAAGUCCUCUUUUGAGUUGUUGUCCAGGGCUGUCCAAGAGACUCCAAAACAUACAGCCUAUUGCUAUUGCCCAUGGCUGCCUACGUAGAGGUGGAAGAUGGAGACCACCACAGAAAACCACAACCAAUCAAUAUGCAGUUGUGGGGCCCAGUACCAAUGGAUACAUUUACACAAUACUCCGACAUCGAAAGUUCAGGAAACACUCUGGAAGAGGGGGCAAAAAGACUGUCAGGAGGAUCAGGUAGUUAUUGUGAGAUUGUGCCUCCUAGUAAUGUCAGAAAAUAUGCCCAUAAAGUAUCACCAACAGGACUGUCCAAAUGUGAGCUAAACGAGGGCGACACUAAUGGACAUGCCAAAGUGGAUGAGGAAAAGCCCACAAGGCCUCACUCAACCCUGUACAAAGAACUACAGGCAACAG